UACAGAGGUCCCAAUCGUUGUUCGGAUUCACUGGGCGUAAAGGGUGUGCAGGUGGCGAGGUAAGUUCGAUGUGAAAUCCCCGGGCUCAACCCGGGAACUGCAUUGAAAACUCUCUCGCUCGAUGGUCGGAGGGGAGACUGGAAUUCUCGGUGUAGCAGUGAAAUGCGUGGAUAUCGAGAGGAACACCAGUGGCGAAGGCGAGUCUCUGGACGACACCUGACACUGAGGCACGAAAGCUAGGGGAGCAAUCAGG
rnacentral:rRNA from 1 species